rnacentral:tRNA from 1 species
GUAAGUUUAGUUUCAUCUAAAAUAUUAGAUCGUGACUCUAAAGAUGGGAGUUAAAGUCUCCCAACUCACC